rnacentral:rRNA from 1 species
GACGAACGCUGGCGGCGUGCUUAACACAUGCAAGUCGAACGGAAAGGCCCUGCUUUUGUGGGGUGCUCGAGUGGCGAACGGGUGAGUAACACGUGAGUAACCUGCCCUUGACUUUGGGAUAACUUCAGGAAACUGGGGCUAAUACCGGAUAGGAGCUCCUGCUGCAUGGUGGGGGUUGGAAAGUUUCGGCGGUUGGGGAUGGACUCGCGGCUUAUCAGCUUGUUGGUGGGGUAGUGGCUUACCAAGGCUUUGACGGGUAGCCGGCCUGAGAGGGUGACCGGCGACAUUGGGCCUGAGAUACGGCCCAGAAUCGUACGGGAGGCAGCAGUGGGGAAUAUUGCACAAUGGGCGGAAGCCUGAUGCAGCAACGCCGCGUGCGGGAUGACGGCCUUCGGGUUGUAAACCGAUUUCGCCUGUGACGAAGCGUGAGUGACGGUAAUGGGUAAAGAAGCACCGGCUAACUACGUG